rnacentral:lncRNA from 1 species
CUCCGACGGUGAUCAGAUUGCGGUGAUCGACUACCUGUAAAAGGUGAUGUGUUCUGAACACAGUACAGUAAAAAAUUUACUAUUUCAAAUUUGAAUUUCAAAUUUAAAUGCAUGUUGUUGUAUCAUAUUUAGAUCCUAGUGUAGGGUUAAUUAGUAUUAAUUAAUGAGAUUAAUUAAUAAUUUUACUGUAAAAUAGUAAUUUUGAAAAAUUUUAAAAUUAUCAUUUUGCCCCUGCAUUGAAUUUUUGCUUCAAAUGGUAUCAGAGCAUGGUUCUAGAAUAUGAUAUACAU